rnacentral:rRNA from 2 species
CGAGAAAAACUUUGCAAAUGUGCGAAAAGCACGACAAGGUUAAUCCGAGUGGUUUCUGCUAAAGGAACCUUUUGACAGUCCUAGAAACACUGUUGAAUAAGGGGUGGGCAAGUUCUGGUGUCAGCCGCCGCGGUAAAAACCAGCACCUCAAGUUGUCAGGAUGAUUAUUGGGCCUAAAGCAUCCGUAGCCGGCUCUGUUAGUUUUCGGUUAAAUCUGUACGCUUAACGUACAGGCUGCCGGGAAUACUGCAGAGCUAGGGAGUGGGAGAGGUAGACGGUACUCGGUAGGAAGGGGUAAAAAUCCUUUGAUCUAUUGAUGACCACCUGUGGCGAAGGCGGUCUACCAGAACACGUCCGACGGUGAGGGAUGAAAGCGUGGGGGAGCAAACCGGAUUAGAUACCCGGGUAGUCCCAGCUAGUAAA